CAAAUACUCCCUCCGUCUGGAAAUAUUUGUCUUAAAAAUGAAUGUAUCUAUAACUAAAAUAAGUCUAGAUACAACCAUUCAUAGAACAAGUAUUUCCGGACGUAGGGAGUAAAAU
rfam:Triticum aestivum genome assembly, contig: Triticum_aestivum_CS42_TGACv1_scaffold_001583_1AL